CACGUAGGGGGCGAGCGUUGUCCGGAUUUAUUGGGCGUAAAGAGCUCGUAGGCGGUUUGGCAAGUCGGGUGUGAAAUUUCGAGGCUCAACCUCGAAACGCCACUCGAUACUGCCAUGACUGGAGUCCGGUAGAGGAGUGCGGAAUUCCUGGUGUAGCGGUGAAAUGCGCAGAUAUCAGGAGGAACACCAAUUGCGAAGGCAGCUCGCUGGGACGUCACUGACGCUGGAGAACGCGAAAGCGUGGGGAGCAAACAGG
rnacentral:rRNA from 1 species